GACCAUCAACACAACAGCCAUAGUGCUUGUUGGUCAAUAUAAAGAGCGAUAAAUAAGACAGAUUUAAUUUGGUGUUACCUGUUCUGAAGGUCGGCCAUAUUGGAGCGGUACAGGUCAGCGAAUGACUAGAGACCGAUAAUUGACGCCACCAGUUGGUACAAGUUCUGGAUGAGAGUUUUCUGCAUGGUGAGCUCGCUGCUGAGUGAUGGUACCGAGCUGGGAUGGGUCACCGUGUUCUGUUUGGUGAGCUGAUUCAGCAUCUCCAGCAUUCGGCCCUUCUCUUUCUGCCAUAAAAAGAAGAUAAUUUAUUGUUCCAUCAACCUUACAUGCCAUAAUGUCUUACCAGCAGGGCGUCCACAAGCUCAUCAUCAUGUUUACUCUUCACUAGCAGGGCAGAUAUCUGAGCUUUCAGAGUUUUGGCUUCAGCGGACAGACAUUUGUUUCUGGCUCUGCAGGCUUCCCGUUCUUUCCUCACUUGAUCGUGUUCUUUCUGGAGGGUUUCAUAGCUCGCUGAGAUCCUCUAAAGUGGUGGCUGAUGUUUCUGUCCUGACUUGGGAUUGUAAGAACACCAGGAAGUUCAUCAUUCGGGUCACUUGACAGAGAGGACUUCAGCUUUAGCUGCUGCUCGAGGUCACGCACCUGUCACACACACUGCUCACUUUAGAUCACCUUAGCAUAUGUAGCUCCUAUUUUUAUUUCACUUCAUUUUCUUUUACUUGAUUAUUUUUUGCAUUUUUAGAAGUUAUUUUUUACUUGUUGACAAUAAUCUGCAUCAUAAUGUAUAGCAAGCACUGCCCUUUGCAAGUGCAGUUGUCUGUUUUAUAACUUAAUUCCAAUUAAACACCCACUUAUUCUGUUAUAUACUGUACAAACUUAGUCAAUACAGUCUCAAUGCGUGUGUCUUAUAUUGGGCACCAGGCUCAGCAGUCACAUAUAACAGCAUCCACGUGCACUUUCUAAUGUAUUGCCUUUGCACUUCUAUGGAGUCCUUUCUUCUCUAAUUUGAGAGCUCAUUUCCUCCAUCUUACCCUUGCUUGGAGAGCCAGAAUCUGCUGUGCACGUCCUCUAAAGUUGCCUGGACAACUCAGUAAUUGCUGAAGGUUGACAUCUUCGCCAACCUCACUCAUCAAAACCUAUAGAAAAGAGCAUUAGUAUUGCAUUAGGAUCCAUAUUUGUUUGAUGUCCAUGAGAAAUAAAAUGUUGUGCACCUUUUGAGCCACUUUUAACUCUUGUUUAAAAGACUGAACUUGGUUGCGGUACUCUGUGUUUUUCAGCUGGGCAGACGCUAAUUUCUCUUUCAGGGUCUUCAGCGCUGGACUGUCCUGUUAUGGUGGACCGAUCAUAAGUAGACUUAGUAUCUGAUGGAAACAUUUCUCAUUACACUUACCUCAUGGUUUUGCUGCUGCACAAUGACAUCAAUCUUUUGUCCUUGUGGUAGUGAACGCAGCGCAGCCUGUAGCUUUAAGAAAAAAGCAGGACAUGAGACCAGUUAAUCUAGAAAAUGACUUGAAUCGGACAUCUUAACACACAUCUUUCUCCAGCUCCUUGAUUCUGUUGCCGUUUUGUUUGGAUUUAGUCCGCUCUCGCUCAACUUCAGCAGUCAGCUCUCGGUUCCUUUUGGACAACUCCACAAUCUUGACGGCAGCAGCAUCUCCUGCCAAGCCAGACGCACCUACGGCAGUCCACACCAUCAGUCUACGGUUCAUCAUGCCAAAAGUAAUUAUAGAAACGUACCAGCCAUGACCAACUGUCUCUCUUGUUCCCAUUUCUUCUUCAUGUGUUUGAUUACAAAGUCUUUUUCGCUUAGAAGUUUCAAGAGACGACCAUUCACAUCCUUUAGUUCCCUCAAUUGGUCCAGCAAACACCCACUGUCAUGUUGAGGUCUACAGGAAGUGGUUAAGUGCAACAUAGUUUUGUUUUGGUUGUUUUUUUAAGUAAUAUUUUCUUACCUGUCUCCAAUGUUGGGACUAUCUUGAUUUUUAGAAAACUCUAAAUCACCGACAGACAAAUCCUUUUUUCUUUUGUUUUGAUCCUGUAGGUUUUCAUGCUGUUUUUGCAAAGCUUGAAGCUGAAGAGUCUUCAUUUCAUCACCACCAUUCUCCAUGAUCUGUGUUACAAUGACAAAGCUGACAGAAUUUCAAUACAAGAGCUCUAUAUAGUUUAAGACAAUAAUACAAAUAAAUAGAAAAUUGUUUAUUGGAGCUGUAGCCAGCAUUAACUGACCAAAACUAUGCUUACAUGACGUGACGUUGUAUUGCAUCUCAUUAUAGUGUGCAGGUGUAUUCAUGCAGUCAAGUACAUGAUUAGCUUUCUGCAACACCACCAUUUCUACAAAAACUACAACGUAUUUUUACAAAGCAUAAAAAAACAAUAGUAACUCACCUGUCAUUUGUUCAAGUAGUGACAUAGGCUGUUUUGCAUCUGUUAGGCGAAAAGAGCCCCUGAACUCCAAUGGCUUCCUGUGCCACGACCACUGCCUCCAUGGCAACGGCGCUGACGAGACCUCUGGAGAGGUCUCGCGGGAAAGACAACCCUGUCAUGGCCACUUGCAAACGCGAUGAGGUCAUGUACAUUUAGCAAUGUCUACUCUUAUUUUAAAUAUGUAUGGUGGCCCAAGGAACUGAUUUGAAUAAUAGUACGUAGAUACAAAGGUAAUAGAAUAUUCGGCACACUUUUUGUAAUUUACAUUCUAAAAACAUGCCUAUUUACUUAGGUGGUGCAUAUAUUAUUUAAUAUUGUGUUGCAAGGGGGGCUGUUUAUAGCGAUGGACACGGAGUAGGGUGCCUGCCUCGGCAUCCAGGAGAGAAUACAGGAGGAGUGAACUACCAUCCGCUUCCGUAGUGUGACCUGGGCGGCUUUGGCCGCCAUGAUAGAAGGCAGAAUCCAAAAAAUGGCAUUGAAAAUGUACUCAGGGACACUGCUCAGUCACUAAGUGCACAAAUAAACAAAAUUUUUAAUUUUUCUAGUUCCCCCCAAACAGGUACGUGUGAUAAAAUGUAGUGAAGAACUGGAGUCUGAGGCGGGGUGUGGAACUUAGGAGAGAACUUUAUUCUUUCGAACAUUAACUCACUCUCCUCGCUACGUGAGACAUAAUCGCCCACCUUGCAACCACAAGAGAAAAACCCUUUUCCUCACGCCCACCCCUCCGGGUGACAACCACCCCCCUAUCAAUCGUUCCGGGGUGAAUUAUGUACCGGCAACCUAGCACUAUAGUAGAUUUAUUGUUGUAAAUAAACAGGAAAGUUGGACACAAUAUACAUAUAUUUAAAAAAUAGUUGGUUUCUCUGGGUGAAUUCAUGACAAGUCAGUAAUAAUGACUGUAAAAUGUAUUAACAAUGCCAUUAUUUAAAUAAAUGUUGCUUUGUGUAAAUACUUCCAGUUAAAUAUUCAUAUAUGUUUUUAAAUCAUAAUAAAAAAAAUACUGUGAUAAAUGAUUGUGAUAUUACUGUGAUAAGAGGCUGAAACACCUAAUGAAGUUGAGGCACACAACUGAUGAUGUCGUAUUGGAGGCACCCCAAGACCUUG